AUUGAACGCUGGCGGCAGGCCUAACACAUGCAAGUCGAGCGGAGAGGCGGACGGGCGAGUAAUGCCUAGGAAUCUGCCUGGUAGUGGGGGUUAACGUCCGGAAACGGGCGCUAAUACCGCAUACUAUCAGAUGAGCCUAGGUCGGAGUAGCUAGUUGGUGGUGUAAGGGCCUACCAAGGCGACGAUCCGUAACUGGUCUGAGAGGAGGAUCAGUCACACGGGAACUGAGAAACGGUCCAGACUCCUACGUGAGGCAGCAGUGGGGAAUAGUGGACAAUGGGCGAAAGCCUGAUCCAGCCAUGCCGCGCGUGGGAAGAAGGUCUUCGGAUUGUAAAGCGCUUUAAGUUGGGAGGCGUUACCAACAGAAUAAGCACCGGCUAACUUCGUGCCAGCAGCCGCGGUAAUAC
rnacentral:rRNA from 1 species